ensembl:lncRNA
CUCCUGGAGAGGCUGUGGGUUCGUGGCAUCCGCGCAGCGGCCGCAAGUGUAGCAGGUUUCGUACCCGGUGUUCAUCGCCGUUAAGUCAUCGCUGCUACCACCCAGGCGCGGCUCUAUCCCGCCGCUCCCUCUACCCUCUCGGCACUGCCAGCAGUAAGAAUUUUUGCUACGACACUCUCUUCAGCAGGAGACCCGGCCCAGCAUCUUCUUGAGCUCCUCCUUGAGGUGGAUGGGCAGCUGCAGGUGGCACAGGAUGAUGUGCAUCUUUUCACACGCCGCAUUGCCUGCUCGCUCGCUCCAAGAUCGCUGGCUCCAAGAUCUCGCCUGUCAGGUUCUCCAGCACCGCUGCCAGGUGAUGGCUGUCAGGAAUUGUGGUGCUUGUGAAGUGAUAAACUGAGCCCUUUGGAUUCCAUGAAGUUAUUAAAGAAUAUAGUUUUCAAAUCACGGCAAAAUCGUGAUUUCAGCAACACGCCAAGAUGAAUCAUUGUUUUCAUGGACAACUGUGGGAGGCACUUUGGGUCCCUAUAUCCUGGAGCAUUAGCCCAGCAUGGCCUCGUGCGUACUGGGACUUACACAUACGCACAAACCUGCCCAUCUUGGCCACUGUUAACACGUGCCAUUAACUUCGUGAAACCAUGUCUGACCUAGGGAAGAUAUUCUUGAAAAACGGAUUAGAGUUUGCCAGAUCCUAUGAGUGCGUGACCUCAGAAGAGAAGAGGAGGGGACACUCCAAUGAUAAAGGUUGAAAGGAGCAGAGCCAGUUGGCCAUGGACUGAAACUUUCAGAGCUACAGUUUGUCUUUAUGUGCAUGGGUGUUUUGCCCGCAUGUAGGUAUGUGUACUGUGCAUGUGCCUGAUUUCCAUGGAGGUUAAAAGAGGAUACCAAAUCACCUGAAACCGGACUUGCACACAGUUGUAAGCAGGCAUGUAGGUCCGGCGAAUUGAACCUAGGAUCUCCGGGAAAGCAGAUUCAGAGGAGUUAAUGUUGCCAUGACUAUCUCAGAAGGAGACAUGGACAGAGGAACAGGUAUCUCACUCCCGUAGGAGCCCCUCCAGCAAACUACUUAUCUCAGUUUCCCUAAACUGCCUGCAAAUGCAGAAGAACACCCUCCAGGUAACUGCUUAUCUUAGUGACGGGUAGGCUAAAGUGCUUUCUUCCUGUGACACCUCCCUCCUCCCCCAACUGCCAACUGACAUGCCAGAAUAUGUUUUUGACCUUCAAAACCCUUGAGCUCUGGACACUCACUGUUCCUAGGUUCCCAAAUACUUAGGUAUAGACCCAGCCAGUGGGAUUGCAGACUUCCAAUUGACUAUAGACUGAGUGGUCAUUUCUGCUCACCCUGUUUGCUUUCUUCAUUCCUCUUCCUCCCUUCUUCCCUGGCAAAAUCUAGGGUGCUAUUUUUCUUUAAAUGUUCUUCUGGGAUAUCAGGAAAUGAGUCAUGCUUUUCCGCUGAGGACUGUAGCUCAGCUGCUGAAGUACCUGCCUGGUAUCUGAAGGCCUCCAAUUCAUCCAACAGUUUGGGUUACGGGUAGCAAAUAACAGGACAGGAAUGUUAUAGAGGGUCUGUCUUUUCCUUUGCUGUCCCUCUUCCCGUUCUGUCUUGUUUUCUAUUUCUCUUUCUAAGGCCUCUUUGCAUAUCCCUGUCUGGCCUGGAACUUGCUCUCUAACUCCUGCUACUCUGUCAUUCUGCCCCUGAUUUUUGGGAGCUGUAUGCCACUGUGCACACCUUCAUGGCUAUGGCUUACCAAAUUGUCAGAAAAAAAAGAAUUCUUUUAUAUCUAAUUCUUUAAACCAUGCUCCUACUGGGAGACUGGUCUGUUUUGUUUGGUUUUCUUUCUCUCUUCCUUCCUUUCUUUCUUUCUUUCUUUUUCUUUCUUUCGUUUGAGUCUUACUCUAACUCAGGCUGAUCUGAAACUCAGAAUAAUCCAGCUGCUUCUGACUCCUGAGGGUUGGGAUUACAGACAUGAGCCAUGUUUUUCUUCUAAAGAUUUAUUCAUUUAUUCUAUAUAAGUACACUGUAGCUGUCUUCAGACACACCAGAAGAGGGCAACAGAUCCCAUUACAGAUGGUUGUGAGCCACCAUGUGGUUGCUGGGAUUUGAACUCAGGACCCCUGGAAGAGCAUUCAGUGCUCUUAACCGCUGAGCCAUCUCUCCAGCCCCAUGUUAUUCUUUUUGCAUUGGAUUCCUAUAAUAACCUCCAUAGUAAUAUAAAGUAUUUUGGCCCUCUUGGCAUAGGGGGCUAACGGUGACUGGGAUAACAACAUGCAGUUCCAGGUGUAAGGGGAGCUGGAUAUGGUAGCAUCACUUAGGAAUGGGAAUUUGCACUGGAGACACUCUAGGAAAUGGAGCAGCAGAAUGUUGAUGCUAUGGCCUGUACCAUUCAUAUAUUACCUAGAUGAGCUACCUUGUCUCUGUGCUUAGUGUUUGUGUUUUAUGUCUUCUGUUAGGUUCCAGUUUUGUUUUUUUCCUAGUUCAUAGCUUUUUAUGGCUUCAUCAUUUCCUUAUGUUUUGCUUGCUUGUGCUUCCUAUUAGUUUUAGCCCUUUGUGUUGCGUGCUGACUUUCAAUGAAUGUAUCCUUCUCCUUGACCUCCCUUUACUGAUUCCUGUGAAUAACCCAGUUCCAGUAACUGAGAACUCUUUGCUAGACCUGUCCGGUUGCAGGUUAACGAGAACAGUUUGUAGAUCUUGGUGUUAUGUUUUUUGGUUAAUAUGAUGUUGCGUCUGCCUUUACUCUGCUUAUUUCUUAUGGUUUCUAACGUAUGGUUAACAACUGACUUCUUCCAUCCUCUGUUUCAGGGGUUUCAGUUGCAAAUGCCUGCAGGAUCCAGAUGUGUGAGAUGGUCCUGGUAUUCUCUCUCUUUUCUUUCUCAUGAAAAGCUGGGUUUUUGUUGUGUUUUUCCUUUGCUGUUCUUUAAUUUAUCAUAGAGAUUACUGGAUGCCAAGGGUCAAGUGUUGGAUCUAAGAGGAUGGGAGAGUAUUUGAGACCCCGAUCAAUUUAAUGUGCAAAAUGAAUCUAAAGAGAAAGGCUAAUAUUUGCUGCUGUUAAUUGUCUGGAAAUGUGGAUCCAGGAUUGCCAGGACUUCCGGUUCACUACAAGGGAAACUUGUAACUUCAAGGUUUUUGUUGCUUUGCAUGCCUCUAGACAAUAGAAUAUGUUCCUAAAUGCUUUAAGAAUCGUACAAUCUGUCUAUUUGCAGUUGUGUUACUGCGAUGUUAACUGUAUUCUUAUACUGUUAACCAAGGGUAUGUGGAACACUUCCUGUUUCACUUAGCUGAGCCCUGACAGUUUCCUUUGGGCAGAGUUUAGAACUGGACCACAAUUUGAAUACAUCUGUGUAAGUUAGGAUGAAAUAAUCUAGGGAAAAUAUAGAUUUUUAUACAUAUAGAAAAACAGAAGAAGAACUGCUGGUUGUUUAGGGAGCUUGUCCCAGCUCAGCUAGCCGAGAUUAUAAGCAUUUGCCAUCAUGCCAGGCAAAGUCUUGAGGUUUUUGUUUUUUAAUGUUCUUCUGAAAUAACAGACAGGAGGUCUAAAUUUCCAGAGAGGAAUUGUUUUAAUUAUUAGAGUAUUUGGCCACUAUAUUUUCCUUUGGGUCAAUCUAACACAAUGGGGGAUAAAUAAGAAAAGAUACAUCUUACAGGCUGUUUCCACUGAGUCCAAGCCACAGUAGGGCCAUUUUAAAGCGACAUUUAGAAUGUAUCACAUUGUAUAGUAAGCUGUUUUCCUUUUAUGUUACUUACCCAGUUAGAGCUUUUAACUUUCUUUGGCGUCUAUGUGUGCGUGUGGUGCAUAUACAUAUUUGUUUCCUGUGGGGGGUGUUUAUUGAUUACCAGUUGUCUUCCUCAGAUAAUUAACAACUUAUAUUGAAGCAGAGUCUCUCAGUGAGGAUCCCUAGUCCGAGCUUUUAAGCACAGGGAUUGUUAGUGCACGUUCAUGUCCACCCUAAGUGGCAUUCAGCUUGUGCUGGGGAUCCUGACCUGAGCUCUUAAAUUUUACCAGUAAAUACUUAGCAAACUGAGCCCCCUCUUCCGCCCCAAGUUGCCCUCUCCCUCCACUUCUUUAUUAGAGGGGAGAGGGAUGGAGAGGAUGCAGUGUGAGAUAAGAACGUGCACAUGUGUGAAUGCUUGACCUGUGUGUGCAUGUGUGGAAGGGCCGCAGCAGGCUCCUGGAGAUUCUGCUGGACAUAGAGUCUAUUCUCUCUCCCAUCUGUGUCCUUGUGAUUGAGCUCCAGUUGUCAGCAUUGUGACUGGUGCAUUUACCUGCUGAGCCAUGUUACUGUUACCCAAGUUUAUUGGUUUUGGGGUGUUUUUCGUCCCUUCUGCUGCUAGGGAAGGAACUCAGGACCAUGUGCUAAGCAUGUGCUAGGCAGAAACAGUCUAUUAUUGACAGAGCUACAUGCAUUGAGGACUACUGGGAAUUAAACCUUUUGAGCUAUGCCCUUUAAGUUUCCCAUGAUGCCCCUUAUGCGCCUGCCUCAGCCAUCUGAGUAGCUGGAGUUAUGGGCCUACACUCUCAGUCCACUCCCUAGUCCUUUUUAUUAUGACAGGCUCACAUCAGGCUGGUUUAGAACACAAUCCUGCUGUCUCUUCAGAAGGCUAAGAUUACAGGUUUGUCAGAUCUGAAUCAAUUCAGUAAUUUUAAAUGCAUGCUAUUUACAAGAGUUUACCUAGAAGUUGAUCAUCAGUUGUCUCAUAGAUAGUAAAGGAUAGGGAAGUUUGAGAAAUUCAUCAAUCUUUUACUCUCCCUCAAAAAGUUUUCUCAUUCAUAACUAAAUCCAUUGUAUGUAGCCUCUGAUUUGGGGCUCAGUGUCUCUGGGUAGAUUUCUAGGUUGCCAUGGUGUUGAAGUCUUGUGGCAGUGAUCCUAAGCUGUUUUAGCUGCCUUUUGCCUUGAGCUUUUCAUAUUACUUGGUGUCUAAUUUUUCCUUAUUAUGCACACAAGUCCUGGUUUGUUUUUGUAAUUAACUCUUAAAGGUUAUAUCUCUGGCUGCUUCCUUCUGAAUGUCAACAGUUGACUCUCACACCCUCAUGUGGCUGCUAAAGAUGUCCCAGUUUCCGGCAGCAGGGAGACAGAGUGUGAUCUCUAUCCACUUAGAGAAUGCUAUGCCAGUAAAGCUUCGUUCUUGAAUUUCAGGGUGAGCCUGGUGAAGCAAAGGUAGUUAGCUUAUUAAGUAAAGGCAGAGAAGUGGGGAAAGGACAAGGACAGUACACAGUCUCAAGGCUCCUUGAGAGUUGAAGUUAAAUUAUGUACAUCUACAUAGAUGGUCCCUGGCUUUUUAAACUGUGUCACAAAGGAUUACAACAAGAAUUAGUUGAGUUUUCAUGUUUAAAAUUUUAAUAAUUAUUUGAGCAGGUUUACUUAUUUUACAUCUUUGAGAAUUUUAUUUGUGUAUAUGAGUACAUUGUCACUGUCUUCAGACACAGCAGAAGAAGGCAUCAGAUCCCAUUACAGUUGGUCGUGAGCCACCAUGUGGUUGCUGGGAUUUGAACUCAGGACCUCUGGAAAAGCAGUCAGUGCUCUUAACCGCUGAGCCAUUUCUCCAGCCCAGAGGAGUUUCUAUGAGGUUGGACCACUGAUCAUUGAGUAGGAGCUUCAUCUUUAAAAUUUGGGGUGUGCAGUUAUGAACUGGAAAAGGCUGCAUCGUGAAUGAAAACACAGUGCAGAGUGGGACCCGUGUUGCUCUCUGGAUAGAACAACAAGAGUGGCGCCCCAAGAAGAUGGAGAGUGACGUUUUGGGAGUUUCCCAUUGGAGCAAAGUGAGAGAAAGAUGGAGUGAAUGAGGUGUCUUUAUUUUGUGAGGGAUACAUAAACUGCUUCUCAAGGAUUGGAGAUUUCUACGUAUUACUCCUUUUUAAAGAUUUCUAUUUACCCGAUUGACAAACCAGAUCAGGGUUUUCAUUGAAUUCUGCUACAUGGAUAAAGGGCUCAAGGGCAAGGGAUAGCACCAGACGUGCUAAUUAACUGAGUGAAAAAGUACAACAAGCAUUCCCUGAAGUAGCUCCUGCUGUUUGUCCAACAGGGAAUUUUUCUCAUGGGAGAUGUUUGGCACAGGGAUGUUUCUCUUCAUGUAACUCUUCAGCUCACCAGACAAGUUGAACUUAAAUUUUUAUGGUCUUGUGAGUUAGUCCGAUAAAUGAAGGAGCAAGAAAGCCAACACCCAGUUGGCAAGAAUAUGACCUACUGACUGACAGCCAUUAAAAAACUCGAUUCAAUUGGCCUGAGCUUUUCUGUAUUCUAUUAAAAAUGAAAUUUCCCCCUCAGUGAAAGUAACAUGAUCAACAUUUUGAAAGUUAUGAACAUGCACAAUUAUAUAAGCCUUGAAGCAAUGACUUGUAAAAGUAUGGAUACUCUUCCUGUAAGCGGCCAGAGGUGACCCGUGGUUCAUGACUCUCUAGACCCACAAAACCAUGCAAAUUAAUAGACUCAAACCGUUAUGUUCACAUUAAGUUUAAUAUAAGUUCUACAUCGAAUAUGUACUUCUGGAUUUAUUAUUGUACAAAUUGGACUUAACAAAUUUUUAAUAUAAAAUGUAUUAUACACCAUACAUUAAUAGUUAUAUAU